AGGAGGAGGAUGUGAGCGGAAGGGUGAGGAUGAAGGGUAAGAGGAGGAGGUGGAGAUGAAGUGAUAGGUGAGGAGAAAAAGGGGGAGUAGGUAGUGGAGGAAAGAAGGUGAUGAAGGAGAUGAAGAGUAAAAGGAGGAGAGGAGAUGGAUGAGAGGAAGGAAGAAGAAGAGGAAGAGAAACAGAAGGGAUUAAACAUGAGAAACAAGCGAAUGACGAACAGAGGAGGAGGAGGAGGAGGAGGAGGAGGAUUCACACCUUCAGAAGCUUCACUGCCUCCCAAGAGUCUCUAAUGAGUAAUGACGCCCCCCCCCUCCAGCUCUACUCCCUUCCACUAUUUCCCCUCUCUCCAAAUCUUUCCCCUCCCUUCCCAUCUUCCCCCUCCCUUCCCAUCUUCCACCCUCCUUUCCAUUCCUGCACACUACUAAUACUGCAAACACCUUUCCUCCCUCCCUUCACCUUCCUUCUCCCUUCUACCUUCUUUCCUUUCAUUCUUGUUCCUUCCACCUGUUUCCUCUUCCUUCCCUUCUUUGUCCACAUUUUCUUAGCUUCUCUUCCUUCCUUCCUUCCUUUCAUGUUCCUUCCUCUGUACCGAUAUUGUUAAUUUCUCUCCUCUUUUCCUUCUCCUUUCCCUCUCUCUUUCAUUCCUGCUCUCUUUUUCUCUACCAUGUUUCCUUUCCUCCCUGUUCCUUCCAGUCUCUCUCUCUCUCUCUCUCUCUCUCUCUCUCUCUCUCUCUCUCUCUCUCUCUCUCUCUCUCUCUCUCUCUCUCUCUCUACGUAGAACUAAGCUUACAAAGUCAUUUCGCAGCAAAUAUCGUGAACUCAUAGUGAUAGUGUUUAAAUUUUUAGGAAGCAACACACACACACACACACACACACACACACACACACACACACACACACACACACACACACACACACACACA